rnacentral:rRNA from 1 species
CACGUAGGGUGCGAGCGUUGUCCGGAAUUAUUGGGCGUAAAGAGCUCGUAGGCGGUGUGUCGCGUCGGCCGUGAAAACCUGCAGCUUAACUGUGGGCUUGCGGUCGAUACGGGCAUCACUGGAGUUCGGCAGGGGAGACUGGAAUUCCUGGUGUAGCGGUGAAAUGCGCAGAUAUCAGGAGGAACACCAGCGGCGAAGGCGCUGCUCUGGGCCGGUACUGACGCUGAGACGCGAAAGCGUGGGGAGCGAACAGG